rnacentral:rRNA from 1 species
UCCUUCUUUUUCAAUCGUUGUCCGGAAUCAUUGGGCGUAAAGAGCGUGUAGGCGGCCAUGUAGGUCCGGUGUGAAAACUCGAGGCUUAACCUCGAGAUGUCAUCGGAAACCAUUUGGCUAGAGUCCGGAAGAGGAGAGUGGAAUUCCUGGUGUAGCGGUGAAAUGCGCAGAUAUCAGGAAGAACACCAAUGGCGAAAGCAGCUCUCUGGGACGGUACUGACGCUGAGACGCGAAAGCGUGGGGGGCGAACAGG